rnacentral:rRNA from 1 species
CCCUGUUGAGCUUGACUCUAGUCUGGCUUUGUGAAGAAUCAUGCAUGGUGUAGCAUAAGUGGGAGGCUUCGGCCGACAUUGAAAUACCACUACUUUCAUCGUUUCCUUACUUAUUCGGUAAGACGGGAUUUCCCUUCAUUGGGAUUGAUCUUGUUGUUAAACAUCGCCUCUUGCAAAAAGAUGUGACCCGCGCCGAUGACAGUGUCAGGCGGGGAGUUUGACUGGGGCGGUACAUCUAUCAAACAAUAACGUAGGUGUCCUAAGGUAAGCUCAGAAAGGACGGAAACCUUUCGUAGAGUAAAAGGACAAAAGCUUACUUGAUCUUGAUUUUCAGUACGAAUACAGACCGCGAAAGCGUGGCCUAUCGAUCCUUUCGAUUUGUAAAGUUUACAGCAAGAGGUGUCAGAAAAGUUACCACAGGGAUAACUGGCUUGUGGCAGCCAAGCGUUCAUAGCGACGUUGCUUUUUGAUCCUUCGAUGUCGGCUCUU